rnacentral:rRNA from 1 species
AAUGGGCGAAAGCCUGACGCAGCAACGCCGCGUGAGUGAUGAAGGCCCUCGGGUCGUAAAGCUCUGUCGGGAGGGAAGAAGUGAUUGAGGGUUAAUACCCCUUGAUCUUGACGGUACCUCCGAAGGAAGCACCGGCUAACUCCGUGCCAGCAGCCGCGGUAAUACGGAGGGUGCAAGCGUUGUUCGGAAUUAUUGGGCGUAAAGCGCGUGUAGGCGGUCUUUUAAGUCUGAUGUGAAAGCCCCGGGCUCAACCUGGGAAGUGCAUUGGAAACUGGGAGACUUGAGUACGGGAGAGGAGAGUGGAAUUCCUAGUGUAGGAGUGAAAUCCGUAGAUAUUAGGAGGAACACCGGUGGCGAAGGCGGCUCUCUGGACCGAUACUGACGCUGAGACGCGAAAGCGUGGGUAGCAAA